AUUGAGAAUGGGACAGGAGGCAAGGAAACUAGUCACAACGCAGGAAGUUUAUACGAAAAUCAGAGCAAGGGCAGUGGAGAGAGAAAGGAAGGAAAACAAAAGGACAUUUCAAAGGCAGGGUCAUCAGAAUUUAAAAUUACUUUGAGGAGGAGGUAUGAUGGAAAACAACAAAUUAAAAAUGACUAUCAAGUUCUGUCUUGGACAAUCGAAUGACAAGCAGUGAGCUAAAAUAAAGGGAAAUAUCAGCUAUUGAAAUUUCCAAUUGGUGCAGAAGCAUGUUUCAAGAACAAUAAUGACUUUGAAAGGCAAAAAAUUAACAAUAUUUUUAAAAAGAGUUACAUAAUGACAUCUGGAAGGAAAUACCCUAAAACAGGAGUUAACCUGUGAAAGUGAGGCAUCAGUAGCAAGGGGAAUGACAGUGAGGACAACGUGAUGUAAUCCAACCCCGAGGGUACACUUACUCUUGAAUGAACUGAAUAAAUUAAAAUUUUAAGCUGAAAAAAAUAGGAUUUGGUGAUUGGAUAUAAAGGAUGAGCGGGAGAGAGGAGUCAAAGCUGGUAAGACAAGAACAAGAAGGAGGAAAAGUUUUUGAGGAAACAGGGUCUCACUCUGCUGCCCAGGCUGGAAUGCAGUGGCGUGAACAAUGUUCGCUGCAGCCUCGACCUCCUGAGCUCAAGCAAUCCUCCCAUCUCAGCCUCCUGAGUAGCUGGGACUACAGUUGCCAAUCCUGAACAUCAAAAACUAUAUGAGGGCAGAGGAAGAUGGUAGAAUAGAAGCCUGUGCCGUUCGUCCCCCUCACUGGAAUACCGAAUUUUAACAACUGUCUUCACACAGAAAAGCACCAUCACAAGAACCGAAAAUCAGGUGUUGGACAAUGAUUUGAGGUCUUAGCCUGAACUUUUGAAUGAGAGGUGCCCCAUCAACUGGACUUCUCCUGAGUGUUGAAAAGGGCAUCUUUGUAACUAUAAUGACUCCUGAGAAGAUUUUGUUUUCAGUCUUAAAACAGGAAUGGGGGAAAAAUGUAGGCCUGGCUUGAAGAUCUUUAAGACUUCCUUAAUGAGAAACUACCUUUAAGUUACAGAAGACCCAUCAGGAUGCCAAAUUCCAUCUGGACACAGUUACAAAUACACCACUGUUGAUGAGCUGAAAAUUACAGCAACCAAACAACAGAGCUUUAAAAUGUUAUUUCAAGACAAGGGGACAUUUUCACCAUAUAAAAAUAGAAGUUUGCCUCUAAAUAAAAAUGAUUUUACAAUUGC